rnacentral:rRNA from 1 species
GACAGGCUUAGCACAUGCAAGUCGAGGGGCAUCACGUAGAAAGCUUGCUUUCUUUGCUGGCGACCGGCGCACGGGUGAGUAACACGUAUCCAACCUGCCCUUUACUCGGGGAUAGCCUUUCGAAAGAAAGAUUAAUACCCGAUAGCAUAAUGAUUCCGCAUGGUUUCAUUAUUAAAGGAUUCCGGUAAAGGAUGGGGAUGCGUUCCAUUAGGUUGUUGGUGAGGUAACGGCCCACCAAGCCUUCGAUGGAUAGGGGUUCUGAGAGGAAGGUCCCCCACAUUGGAACUGAGACACGGUCCAAACUCCUACGGGAGGCAGCAGUGAGGAAUAUUGGUCAAUGGGCGCUAGCCUGAACCAGCCAAGUAGCGUGAAGGAUGAAGGCUCUAUGGGUCGUAAACUUCUUUUAUAUAAGAAUAAAGUGCAGUAUGUAUACUGUUUUGUAUGUAUUAUAUGAAUAAGGAUCGGCUAACUCCGUGCCAGCAGCCGCGGUAAUACGGAGGAUCCGAGCGUUAUCCGGAUUUAUUGGGUUUAAAGGGAGCGUAGGUGGACUGGUAAGUCAGUUGUGAAAGUUUGCGGCUCAACCGUAAAAUUGCAGUUGAUACUGUCAGUCUUGAGUACAGUAGAGGUGGGCGGAAUUCGUGGUGUAGCGGUGAAAUGCUUAGAUAUCACGAAGAACUCCGAUUGCGAAGGCAGCUCACUGGACUGCAACUGACACUGAUGCUCGAAAGUGUGGGUAUCAAACAGGAUUAGAUACCCUGGUAGUCCACACAGUAAACGAUGAAUACUCGCUGUUUGCGAUAUACAGUAAGCGGCCAAGCGAAAGCAUUAAGUAUUCCACCUGGGGAGUACGCCGGCAACGGUGAAACUCAAAGGAAUUGACGGGGGCCCGCACAAGCGGAGGAACAUGUGGUUUAAUUCGAUGAUACGCGAGGAACCUUACCCGGGCUUAAAUUGCAGUGGAAUGAUGUGGAAACAUGUCAGUGAGCAAUCACCGCUGUGAAGGUGCUGCAUGGUUGUCGUCAGCUCGUGCCGUGAGGUGUCGGCUUAAGUGCCAUAACGAGCGCAACCCUUAUCUUUAGUUACUAACAGGUUAUGCUGAGGACUCUAGAGAGACUGCCGUCGUAAGAUGUGAGGAAGGUGGGGAUGACGUCAAAUCAGCACGGCCCUUACGUCCGGGGCUACACACGUGUUACAAUGGGGGGUACAGAAGGCAGCUAGCGGGUGACCGUAUGCUAAUCCCAAAAUCCUCUCUCAGUUCGGAUCGAAGUCUGCAACCCGACUUCGUGAAGCUGGAUUCGCUAGUAAUCGCGCAUCAGCCACGGCGCGGUGAAUACGUUCCCGGGCCUUGUACACACCGCCCGUCAAGCCAUGGGAGCCGGGGGUACCUGAAGUACGUAACCGCAAGGAUCGUCCUAGGGUAAAACUGGUGA